AAACCCUUCCCAACAACAAUUAAUCAUACCCCAUUCCAGAUGGUUCCAUUCAUCAGAUAAAGCCUCUAUCUUCCCCAAAACAAACAAAGUACAGCCUCCUCCCAAAACUUGUUAAACAUUUCGCCAUUCUUUAGUCUAGUUCCCCCACCCUCUCUGCAGUAAAACGGCGCACCACAAGUGAAGGAACACUCUCCACUAGGUGACAAGCGAUGGCUUCGGCGACGAAAGCUACAAAGACCCCCUUGUGGGUAUCUAAUUUUGAAAUCAACAUUUCCCCUCAGCAUUUCUCGCAACAAUACCUUAUGGGCCUCCUCACCCCACACUAGCAUAUCCUUAUGGGCCUCUAUUGCCAGUAGGAUACAAAGGAUUCUUUUGGCGUCCAUUGGCGAGAAGAUCAAGAAACGAAUAAAACAGAAUUGGAUCGGGGGAAAAUAAAAGUAGUCGAGUAGUCGAUCAUGUCCGUCAAUAUCCGAGGUAAGUCGAUAAGCAUUUAAAUUUUGUUAAAUUCAAUUGGUAUAUAGUAUAUAUAUGUGAUAAAUUGAAUUAUUAAAGAUAAUGUUAGUCUUGGCCGAAUGUAUUUGUUAAAAUAGGUAAGUAAUUGAGUUCAAUUCAAAUAGUAUUUAACAUCUGUCAUCCCGUAUGAACCCUAGAAAUGCAUGAGAUUUUUUUGAUAAAUGUUUUCGUGUAAGACCACGUCUGGGACAUUGGCAUCGACUUGUGUUUUCGUGUAAGACCCUGUCCAGGAUAGCGACAUCGAUCAGUGAUUACAUGUAAGACCACGUCUGAGACGUUGGCAUUGUAUAAAUCUCUUGAUUAUUCGAGUAUCCUAUUUAAUUUCAAACGGUUCAACGGGCAAUGAUAAAUGAAGAUCGGAUAUGAAAUUGAAUUGCAUAUUCAGGUAUGUGCUUGUUAAAUGUAUGUUUACAAAUAGGUUAAGUUGUUAUUUAUAAUUAUGGAAAGUAUGUGAAAAUGGCAUUUGAAUUAACUAAAUCCAUAUAUAUGUAUAUAAGUCGUUGAUUCGCCCUUGUUGAAUUAAAUGUUGUUCAAUGGAAAGGUUAUAAUUAUAUAUAAGUUUAUUUUAGAUUAUAUAGCUUGAGUUUGAAAUCAAGGUAUGAAAUUAUAAUGGAUGAUGUCUUUAUUUAUGGUAUGGUAUAUAAUAUAGGUUAUAUUAGUUAAAUGUUAUAUGUUAUGAAUAAUAAAUAUGCUUAAGCUUAUGACUUACUAAGCUUUAAAUAACUUACGGUGUAUUUGUUUUGGUUGCUUUUGUU